CACGUAGGGCGCAAGCGUUGUCCGGAAUUAUUGGGCGUAAAGAGCUCGUAGGCGGUCUGUUGCGUCGGGAGUGAAAACCCGCGGCUUAACCGCGGGCCUGCUUCCGAUACGGGCGAGCUAGAGUUCGGCAGGGGAGACUGGAAUUCCUGGUGUAGCGGUGGAAUGCGCAGAUAUCAGGAGGAACACCGGUGGCGAAGGCGGGUCUCUGGGCCGAUACUGACACUGAGAAGCGAAAGCGUGGGGAGCGAACAG
rnacentral:rRNA from 1 species